rnacentral:sRNA from 1 species
ACGUGCCACGGACGCAUCGUCGCGUCCGAGGGCAGCACAGACAUGACGUGCCACGGGAAGAACAUGGCACUUCAGGGCGUU